AGAGAGCUCCGCAACGCUGCCAGACUUGAGGGUUUGUCUGUAAGUACACUGGGCUGGUUACCCUCAUUUCCAAAAGUCAUAUUUUGUUAGUGUUUGUUUGCGAUCUGAAAUUGACUUAUUCCUGAAUUAUUCACUUAAUUUUCCUGAUGUCACAUUUACUUGUGUAUAUUUCACAGGUGUUGACAUGUAACCAUGGGAUAAGCACAUUUUUAAGGACCUACUCAUCACCUUCCCUCAUUUAUUGCAUCUGAUUUUAACAAUUGCAUCGGUUAUUUAGCCUAUUGAUGAAUGAAGCUCAGCCUCAUGAGUUUGCAUUGUGUAUUUGUGAUUGCUUCAUUGUCUAGUGCUUGGAUUGAUGGUGUCAGUGCUCCACCCACCUAGGGGUGGAGCCAGGAUGUGAUGUAAUGGCAGGAAGAAGGUAUGUCUUUCUCUUUGCCGGUUCCUGUUUUGCUGUUUGCAGCCGCCAUGAAUUGCAGCCCAGCCAUGCCUACCUGUCUUGGAGCCAAGUAAGUGUGGACUGAAACCUCCAAAAACUGUAAGAAAUAAACCUUUCCUUUCCCAACUUGGGCUUCAGAUAUUUUGUCUCAGCAACAAGUAAAAAGUAACUAAGACAUUUGCAUAUUUGUGUCAUUUUAAAUACUUUUUUACUUAGGUUUAGUAAACAAUUUUUUCUGCCUACUUUCUUAGGAAUCUCCUUAGGGAAAGCUUUUACUACUUCAAUUUUAAAAUUUAACCCUCCAAAAGAUUAUAUCAGAUCCUUUCUUAUUUCCAAGAAAACAGGUUUAUCUUCCAACUUCUCUGAUUUGUAUAUUAUCAGUGAGAUAUUUUAUCCUUAGCUUGAUAUAUAAAUACAUUUGCAUCAUAUAUCCUUUUACUUUAACUAUGUUAGUUGUAAAUUGUCAGUGAAAACAAUUUCUAGGAUCUUAAAGAGAAUAAGCCUAGAACUUAGCUUGACUUUCAAGAUAAAGGAUUUUUUUUCAUAAUUUGAUAAAUAUUACUCUUAAAGCAUUCCAUCCACUGUUCUUCCUGUCAUUUUUAAAAAUAAAAAUGGAAAAACAGUGGUGUGGCCACCAGAGUUCCUAAAAGGCUUAACAGGAACACCGCCAUAUAUGAAGCCCGGUAUCUACUGGCAGUGCCAACAGUGUAGUAAAUCCCAUUUGUUGAGCCCUUUUUAAAAUGCUUAACAUUUAACCUGAGCAUGGUGGCACAUGCCUGUAAUUGCAAUACUUGGGAGGGUGAGGCAGGAGGAUUGCUGUGAGUUUGAGGCCAAUCUGGACUACAAAGUGAGUUCAAGGUCAACCUGAACUGCAUAGUGAAACCCUGACUCAAAAACAAGGGUGGGGGUACUUAAGAUUUAUUAAAACUUGCUUAGUCUGACAAUCUUACUAAGAUAAGUAUUAUUAACAUCUCCAUUAUUUUAGAUAUGAUAAAACUAAAACAGAGAAAAUAAUAACUUGCCCAACAUCACACAGGUAUUAAAUGCUGAACAAGACUUAGUUUUGUUCAUCAACAGAUGUAGCCAGCUACUAGUUUAAGCUGCUGAAGGUUUUUUAAUAUGCUCCCAUAUCCCCCUUAGCUGAUCUUGUAUAUGAUUCUACUGACACCCUAUAUUGUGAUUCUUUUUUUUUCUUAUUUGUCUCUGUCAUGGUUUACAUCUGUGGUCCCAGGCCUCAUGCAUUUGCAUUAUUCAUUUGUGAUUGGUUCAUUGUCUAGCUCUUAAAUUGAUGGUGUCAGUGCUACACCCACAUAGGGGUGGAGCCAGCAUACAGUGUAAUGGCAGGAAGAAGGUGUGUCUCUCUCCUGGGGUUCUGCCUUGGUAUUUGCAGGCACCAUGAAUUGCAGCUCCACCAUGCCACCCUGCCUUAGAGCCAACUGAGUAGGGACUAAAACCUCCAAAAAGUGUAAGAAAUAAACCUUUCCUUUCCCAACGUUGGGAAUCAGCUAUUUUGUCUCAGCAACAAGUAAAAAAUAACUAAGACAAAAUUUGGUACCGAGAGUAGGGUCAUUUGCUGUGACUCUACCUGACCAUAUUUUUCAAGAGGCUUUAAAAAUGGCUUGUGGGCAGAGUUUAAAAGGUUCAGACAUGUCCUCUGGAUGCAUACAAUUGAAGCAGCUUAGGCUGUUUUAUAAAGGAGAUUCUGGUCAGAGUUCAGGAGACUAAAAGGCUGAUAAAAAGCCUGAUGGUAAAGACCAGGCUUGGGAGAUUUCUGCUGGAAAGAAGAACUGCAUUGGUUGUUGGACUCCCCAUGAUGUGUGUUAUGGCUUGGCAGAAAGUUUCUCUGCAUCUUUCUCAUGCCCAGAGACUUUGCCUGAGACUGAGACUAAGGGCAAUGGACUGAUUAUUCUGGCAAAGAAAAUUACAAGGCAGUCAAAUGUUGAGGCUGUGGCAAGGCUAUUGUUGGGGGCUUUUAGCCAGCUUUAUAUUGCAAAUCAAGAGCAAAGAGCCAAGCAAGAUCAUUUACAAUGCUGUGAAUUUGGCCAGAAGGAAAACUCCAGUAAAGCUAUGGAAUGUAAAGACAGAGUUGAGAUUUUGAUUGCUAAGGAAGAACAGAGAGACAAAAAAGAUGGCCAUGGGGCAUUCCAGGAAACAGCAGCCUCAAAACUGCAAAAGUAAAAAAAUUUGCUCAAAGGAAAAAGCUGCAGAGCACUAUGCUCCAGAAUGGCAAUGGAGGCCACAUGAGGUUCCAAAAUGGCAACAACAUAGAGAAGCUUUUCUUCACCAUCAGGUUCAUAGAGCCCAGCAAUCCAGGCAAUUUAGCCCUAAAGCCAAGAGAGAAAAAAGCCUGGCUGCUGCUCUAGCUGACAGCAAACCUUGGCGGCAUCCACAUGGCACUGAUUUUAGGUGCAAGAAAAAUGCACAAGUUCUGAGGGUAAGAUGGCUUCCACCUCGAUUGCAAAGGGUCUGGGAGGCUAAACAGUGGGCCCCUCAGAGGGCAAUUUAUAAAGAAGUAAGGGUAAAGCCAAAGAUACAGUGGAGACCCUAAAAGUUUUAAAAAGCCAAAAACAUAGUUAAUCCAAAAGAAGUUGCAAAAAGUGAGCAGAGAGGGUUUAAGAAAAAAGCAGCAAUCGCUAAAAUCCCUGAAAGUGCCAUGGGGGUAAAAUCACCCAAGCCUUUUAGUGCUUAUAACCAGACUGCUUCAAAUGCUAAACAUAAAACUCUAAGACUUAAUAUUUGCCCUGUUGGAUGUUGGACUUGCUUUGUUUCCAAUGCUUUAUAUUCCCCUGUUUGUAACUUUUGGAAUGAUAAUGUUUAUCUUGUGCCUUUACAUUUCAGAAAUGUUUAACCUUGUUAAAUUUGUACAGGGGGUUAUAGUUAAGAGUUUGCCAUAGAUCUUAGAGGAGACUUGGGACUUGGACUUUUCAACAAUGCUAAAACUGUGGCAACUCUUAGAGAUGGACUAAAUGUCUUUUGUAUAAAAGAUGUACAUGAGUCCUGGGGGCCAGGGGUGAAAUGUCAUAGUUUAUGUCUGUGAUCCCCAGGCAUCAUGCAUUUGCAUUAUGCAUUUGUGAUUGGUUCACUGUCUAGUCUUAAAUUGAUGGUGUCAGUACUAUACCCACAUAGGAGUGGAGCCAGCAUUCAGUGUAAUGACAGAAGUCUCUCUCUUUUGCCAGUUUCUGCCUUGCUGUUUAUAGCCACCAUGAACUGUGGCCCCGCCAUGCCACCCUGCCUUGGAGCCAACUAAAUAUAGACUAAAACCUCCAAAAAUUGUAAAAAAUAAACUUUUCCUUUCCCAACUUUAGGCAUCAGGUAUUUUGUCUCAGCAAUGAAUAAAAAAUAACUAAGACAGUCUCCUUCCCUGAACAGUGAGCUCUUUGAGGCCACACUAUAACUACAGUAACUAGCAAGACACCUGUCACAGGGAAAGCUUUGACAAUUUCAGGAUUGAUUGAGCAGUAUGUCAUAUAGCUAAGCCAAAAGUGAAACCCAUGGCCAUGCAAUUUCAAAGCGUGGCUUCUAAUCUAUAGGUAGAUAGAGAUGGACAUGAAAACCAGCUGUUCUGCUUAAGAGUUAUGACAACAGGUGAGUUAUUUGACUUCUCUAAUGUUUACCUUUCUGAGAGAAAUAAUGUGUAAAAUGCUUAGUUCAGUAAUGUAUAGGACCCAGAAAAGUUAAUUUUGAUCCUUAUUGUUUGCUAAUGUAUUGCCUCCCUGUCUUCUUGGUGAGGGAAAAUUACUUUGCAACUAAAAAGGUUAAAUUUUUCUUUCCUGAAAUGUCUAGUAAUAGCACUGCCUUGAUUAUGUUUAAUAUGUUCUAACUAGUAUCAAUUAUUUUAACAUUUAGGCAAUGCCUUCUAUGGCUGGGUUUUUCUCAUUAAAAAAAUUUUUUUUUUAAAGAAUCUUCACUAAACAACACUUUCUGGGUGUUUCUGCUUCCUGUGUUUUAAGUAAAACAAUGCUCUCAAGUCUUCUGUUCUCUUUAAGUAUUUCCCUUAAAGUUUGUGUGCUCCCAUUUUUCCAUAUUCUUUUUUAUUCAGCUCAUCUCCAAAUCAGUAUUCCCAGCUAUGUCUCCUUUCAUCUAACUGCCAUCUCCUAAAUCUUACCUCAAUCUCAAUAUGCUUGAGUUUGAAUUCAUCCCCUUUUCCAGAAAACCAUGGCACUUCUUGAUAUCUCCAUUUCUGUUAGUGUUAGCAUCUGUUUUUCCAAAUUAACCAAGCCAAAACAAGAAUUCUGUCUCGUCUCUUUUCCCCCAGCUUCUCUACAUCAAAAAGCCAAUUCCUAUCUGUUAAUAUACAAAAGCUCAUAGAUAUCCAUUCUUAACUUUCCAAGUGCCUACCCUCAACUCCAUUCAGAACUCUCAUGUUAUAUCUUUAGUUCAGCCUUGGAUUCUUACGUACUCUUCUUGCAUUUACACCAUCCUGCCUCCAACCUAUCCUGCUUAUCAUACAUAAAUUAGUAUUCCUAAAAGAAAAAACCUUUUCAUUACUCCUUUUACUCAAUAUUCUUACUCACAAUUGAAUUAUUGUACAAUCUUGACUUAGUCUGUAUUUUGCACAGCAUUUGUUAAAAACCAUCCUUUGGGGAUUUAGCUCAGAAGCAUAAGUGCCUGCCUUGCAAGUGCACUGUCGUGAGUUCGAUCCCCAGUAACAAAAAAAAAAAAAAAAAAAACCAUCCUCUGUAUCCAAAGUACUUUUCCUAACCUAAGACUUUAUUUUAUUCAGCAUGGACCUUCUAGCUUAUUAUACCAUUUUCCUGACCAAUUCACAUUGUUCCUCCAUUUGAUGUUCAAAAUCAACUUUCUCCAACCACUCUAUGACUAAUGAGUGGGAAAUGAUCAAUUAGACUUUACCCAUGAUAAUAAUGGUAGUAUUACUUGGAUCUUAAGUUCCAGGUAAUAGCGUUACUUUCUCAAUUAUACAACUUUUAAUUUUCAAAUAAAUGAUGAACAAUGAAGGCCAGAUUAAAUUAUUAUACUUUAUUACCUAGAAAAACUACUUAAUAGUAAGAGCUCAAUAAAUAUUAAUUGAUUCCUAAA